GAGUGACCAGGAGGUCUCUGGAGGGACCACUCCUUCUCAUCCAGAGAUCGACCCCCCCGGAGGAGGAGUAGAGAGGGGCUCUGCAGUCCAGGAGGAGGUCUCCUUGGUUCUCCAUGAACAUUUGCAGGGCUCAAGUGUUUAUUCAAGAGAGACGAACCUGAGAAAUGUUCUCAGAGUUAACUACCAAGAACCGGAAGUACCUAAGGAUGACGACUACUUCUUCUGUGAUGAGUGUAGGACUUUCUUCCUCGAAGAGUGCGAGGUCCACGGUCCUAUCGUCUUCGUGGCUGAUCGCCCCGUUGCUGUCAGAGAGAAAGACAGAGCCAAGAAGACGCUGCCCGCUGGGUUUGAGAUCAGAGAUUCUGGGAUCCCUGGGGCCGGUCUAGGGGUGUUUUACUGUGGAGACGGUGGCCUUCCCAUUGGAACACACUUUGGACCCUACGAAGGACACAGGACAGAUGAAGAGGGAGCCCUAGAGUGGAUACUCCUGGGAGAUCUACAAGAGCAGACACAGUGAUUACAUUGAUGCAAAGAGAGAGGACACUUUCUAACUGGAU